CUUCCCCUCUCACUUCCUGCUCGCAUCUCUCUUCCUCCUCCCACCAUGCAAGCAGCAGGCGGAGCCUCAGGGGAAAGAGGGCCAAGCAGGGCAUGGUCCAGGAGCCGGGGCCCACAAAAGAUGAAUCUGGCCCUGUUCAUAUGAUGGUUUCUUCUUCUUAUCUUUGAGACAGUUCAGGUUUCAGGGGCUUAAAUAAUGUUGUUUUUUUUUUCAUAGAUCUUGCCCCUGUUGAGGCCAACUUAACUUUUCACUCAGCAGCACUGCUAAGAGAACAUCCUUUUUCUAAAAUACUGUAAUCUGUCUCCGAAAAGACUCAAUUGUGACAGAAAUGCCUAGAAGAGACCAAGUAGUUGUGUGAAACUCAGUGAUAACUAGAAUUAUCUUCAUCUGUUUGUUACCAGUUUUGGUCAUGGAUUGAAAUCCCCAGAAUUCUUCUUUCAAUCCGUGACUGAGUCCCCAAUGAAGUGAUCAGACAGCAGAGUGGAUUACAGGACGUUGUUGUGGAAAGCAGGUACAUAACUAGGCUCACUGACAAUCGAUGAACUACAGCUGCCACCAAGUAGUACCCAUGGGAACUGAAACGACCACUCGACCGACCUCCAAAGACAUGGGAAGAUUUUAUUGUGAAAAGACAUGGCCGCACAUGGAGAAGGAAGGCCAAGAUAAGAGAAGAAUGGAAGAUAUGUUGUGAUCGGUGCAAUACACAUGAGGGUUGAAGGACCAAUCAAGCAAGGUGAUCAAGGUGACAAUAGCUUUCAAUAUAAAACUAAAAUAAUUUCUAAGUUGUGACCUAUUUGAUUGAGUUCAUACACCAUAACUUUGUUAUUUUCCCUCUUAUUGGACUGGUGCAUAGUGUUGCAUUUCAAAAACUAUUUGCAGUGUUGCCAUCUUUCAUGAUUUCAUCACAAGUCUCCUAAUA